rnacentral:rRNA from 2 species
ACUUAAAUUGAAGAGUUUGAUCAUGGCUCAGAUUGAACGCUGGCGGCAGGCCUAACACAUGCAAGUCGAGCGGUAGCACAGAGAGCUUGCUCUCGGGUGACGAGCGGCGGACGGGUGAGUAAUGUCUGGGAAACUGCCUGAUGGAGGGGGAUAACUACUGGAAACGGUAGCUAAUACCGCAUAACGUCGCAAGACCAAAGUGGGGGACCUUCGGGCCUCAUGCCAUCAGAUGUGCCCAGAUGGG